rnacentral:lncRNA from 1 species
AUGAGGGCAGGAAUACCACCAAAACCGAUGCCACAUUCACUCUAUCCAAAACCUAUGUAUCAGCAAUUUCGUAGACAAGGAACUAUACCACAUUGGUGGAAGGGAAAACGGAAAAGAAAAGCGUCAUCACUAAUAACAUAUGCUGAACUUGACCUCAGUAGAAUGGGAAUAGAAAUCGACAUGGACCAAUCGACAUCGAAAAACAAGAAUUCCUCCAAUCUACAAGACCCCCAAAAUAUGGGAAUAAACCAGCCCAUGCUACUCUUUGAAGAUCCUCCCCAAGCUUCCGGGAACAAAGGACGAGUCCAAGCCUCACUAAAGCCUGAAGACUACACCAUCAAUCUGAAUCACCUCAAGCAAUAUUCUUCGAAUGAAAGGUGCCACCUGACUCCAGCAAAACGAAGGAUAAAUGUCACGUGUUAUAGAUGUGGCGAGAAAGGACAUUGUGCCUUGGAUUGCCCUAAGAAAAAGCUAGGAAAUGGACAAGUAAGGAAUAUACCUCGAUACCCAAAAAGGAAAAUGAGGGCAGGAAUACCACCAAAACCGAUGCCACAUUCACUCUAUCCAAAACCUAUGUAUCAGCAAUUUCGUAGACAAGGAACUAUACCACAUUGGUGGAAGGGAAAACGGAAAAGAAAAGCGUCAUCACUAAUAACAUAUGCUGAACUUGACCUCAGUAGAAUGGGAAUAGAAAUCGGUGAUUUGCCUGAAGAAGUUGAAGAACUACAACUAUGGCAACGAAAGAGAGAUGGCUGU